AUUGAACGCUGGCGGCAGGCCUAACACAUGCAAGUCGAGCGGAUGAAGGGAGCUUGCUCCUGGAUUCAGCGGCGGACGGGUGAGUAAUGCCUAGGAAUCUGCCUGGUAGUGGGGGAUAACGUCCGGAAACGGGCGCUAAUACCGCAUACGUCCUGAGGGAGAAAGUGGGGGAUCUUCGGACCUCACGCUAUCAGAUGAGCCUAGGUCGGAUUAGCUAGUUGGUGGGGUAAAGGCCUACCAAGGCGACGAUCCGUAACUGGUCUGAGAGGAUGAUCAGUCACACUGGAACUGAGACACGGUCCAGACUCCUACGGGAGGCAGCAGUGGGGAAUAUUGGACAAUGGGCGAAAGCCUGAUCCAGCCAGGCCGCAUGUGUGAAGAAGGUCUUCGGAUUGUAAAGCACUUUAAGUUGGGAGGAAGGGCAGUAAGUUAAUACCUUGCUGUUUUGACGUUACCAACAGAAUAAGCACCGGCUAACUUCGUG
rnacentral:rRNA from 1 species